ACGCUGGCGGCAGGCCUAACACAUGCAAGUCGAGCGGUAGAGAGAAGCUUGCUUCUCUUGAGAGCGGCGGACGGGUGAGUAAUGCCUAGGAAUCUGCCUGGUAGUGGGGGAUAACGUUCGGAAACGGACGCUAAUACCGCAUACGUCCUACGGGAGAAAGCAGGGGACCUUCGGGCCUUGCGCUAUCAGAUGAGCCUAGGUCGGAUUAGCUAGUUGGUGAGGUAAUGGCUCACCAAGGCGACGAUCCGUAACUGGUCUGAGAGGAUGAUCAGUCACACUGGAACUGAGACACGGUCCAGACUCCUACGGGAGGCAGCAGUGGGGAAUAUUGGACAAUGGGCGAAAGCCUGAUCCAGCCAUGCCGCGUGUGUGAAGAAGGUCUUCGGAUUGUAAAGCACUUUAAGUUGGGAGGAAGGGUCGUAGAUUAAUACUCUGCAAUUUUGACGUUACCGACAGAAUAAGCACCGGCUAACUCUGUGCCAGCAGCCGCGGUAAUACAGAGGGUGCAAGCGUUAAUCGGAAUUACUGGGCGUAAAGCGCGCGUAGGUGGUUAGUUAAGUUGGAUGUGAAAUCCCCGGGCUCAACCUGGGAACUGCAUUCAAAACUGACUGACUAGAGUAUGGUAGAGGGUGGUGGAAUUUCCUGUGUAGCGGUGAAAUGCGUAGAUAUAGGAAGGAACACCAGUGGCGAAGGCGACCACCUGGACUGAUACUGACACUGAGGUGCGAAAGCGUGGGGAGCAAAC
rnacentral:rRNA from 1 species